AGCCAAUCGGAUCCACAGUCUCACACGUGCAACCAAUCACAGCUCGACACCUAUCCGCCCGUUCCUUCGCGAUUAAGCGAACUCCGCAGCCGGCUACCUCGCCCAAAGCUCUCGCAUAAAUCUCCAUGCGGUAUCAUAAAAUCGCUUUCAUAAAACACAAUAUGCGAUGGUUAGGGAUGCAGAUAAGUAGAUUAAUCGGA
rnacentral:lncRNA from 1 species